ensembl:lncRNA
UUUUGAAUAUAGAUAUUUUUCUUACAAAAACGCAUUGAUUCGUUACAGGAGGCCUUUGUUUACCAGCCGGAGCCGUGUGAGGCUGGGUGGAUGCGCUUUAUUUCACUUCUUUUGGACUGAUGAACUGCAACACCCGCUGACUGCCAUUAAACAGCUUGGAAGAUCAAAGACAUUUUUUAAUAUAACUCAGAUUGGAUUCGUCUGAAAGAAGAAAGAUAUAUAUGAUGCCUUUGAGGUUUUUUUCCUCCAUCUCAGGUUUCCUGAUGAGGAAGCGGCUGUUUGACAGUCAGACUGACAGACACAUUAAGAGCUCAUUAUUACCGCAUGCUUCCACAAGACCUCCAGAGGAGGAGACUUCAGACUUCUGACCCGACCCCGCCAACAUCCACCCUGCAGGAGAAACAGAUGAAGCCGGCCUAACUUCUGUUUGGGAAAGGCCAGCCUUUUCAGGUUAAACUGGAUUCAAGUUCAAGCAUCCAAAAGUUAGGAUUCCAAACAUUCAAUUCAUACUAGCAUAUCUAUUCUGCAUUAACACUGCCAAACAACUAGACAUCUGUAAACAGAAAAGAAACACUUAAAAGAUUUCAAAUCCAGAACAAAUAUUAAGCAGACUGAACUAAACAGAUAUGUGUCAAAAUAUCGGAUAUCAGUCUCUCUCUUUUUGUGUGUGGAGAAUCUGAACAUGUUUAGACAUUCAUUAAAACUCUCCUUGGGCAAAAAGGCAGCAAAGCGUAUAAAAGGAUUGUGUGUCAGAGGUAAUUAUGAGAGAUUAAAUGUGUUUUUGUUUGCACAUUGUUAUUUGUUUCUAAGUGCUGCAGGCAAAGUUGAGUUCUUGGAAAGAAGAUUUAUAAAAUAUGACUAAUGAAGAUUUCAUCACUUAUGAGGCUUUCAUAACAAAUCCAGGGAUUAAACGCUUGAUUUAACAUCACCGCCUAACAGGAAAACCUAUUCAAUGCCACAUUAUAACAGAAUGUUAAUAUCUCAAAUUAAUGUUGCGAUGUAGGUGUGUUUGUAUUACAAAAUGUGCAGUUUAUGAGUUCAUGCA